ACAAGCGGUGAGCAUGUGGUUUAAUUCGAUGAUACGCGAGGAACCUUACCUGGGCUCAAAUGUAUGUUGACGUAUUCUGAAAGGGAUACUUCUUCGGACAAUAUACAAGGUGCUGCAUGGUUGUCGUCAGCUCGUGCCGUGAGGUGUCGGGUUAAGUCCCAUAACGAGCGCAACCCCUAUCAUUAGUUGCCAUCAGGUCAAGCUGGGGACUCUAAUGAAACUGCCUACGCAAGUAGUGAGGAAGGUGGGGAUGACGUCAAAUCAGCACGGCCCUUACGUCCAGGGCUACACACGUGCUACAAUGGCCGGUACAAAGGGCAGCUACCUGGUGACAGGAUGCUAAUCUCAAAAGCCGGUCUCAGUUCGGAUUGGAGGCUGCAACUCGCCUCCAUGAAGUCGGAAUCGCUAGUAACCGCAGAUCAGCUACGUUGCGGUGAAUACGUUCCCGGGCCUU
rnacentral:rRNA from 1 species